GCGCUCACUUUGGCAGCACAUGUACUAAAAUUGGAACAAUAUAGACAAGAUCAGCAUGGCGCCUGUGCAAGGGCGACACACAAGUUCAUGAAGUCUUCUAUUAAAAA